UAAUCAAAGUUUGUUUCGAUACAUUAAAACAAACACAAUUGGCAUUUCAAGUGAUGUAAAAUACAUGACUACUUUUUAGUAGUGCAUACGAAUAUUCGCUGACACAGAUCUGUCAGGGAGUUCGUCUGAAGGACACUUUAGCCAAAAUGAAGGUCUCUCAGCAACUUGGCAGAGAGCUUGGCCAUCUUGGAUAUUCCAAAAGGAUCAUCAAAUUUGGAACCUCACCAUACGAACAAGUCCAUUUUCCCAAUGUUAUGUACAGUGUUCCCAAUGUUAUGAAGAGAAUGGCUAGACAGUUCUUGAUAGUCGUUCCUCCAUUGAGUCUUGGGUGGUAUUCCUACAUAUGGAUGAAGCACGCAAACCACGAGUCCAAACGGAAGAAACCAACAGACUACGUCAAUGACAGUUAAAGAACAUUCAGUGUGAUAUUAAUAUGACAAGUUACCAGUUGAAAAGUGUUUCAAGACAUUGAGUAUCUUUUACAGACAUGAGAAUUAACACCUGACACUGUAGCCAUGAUUUGUGAAUAAAAUACUAAAAGUU